GCGAGCCAUCGAAUCUUUGAACGCACAUUGCGCCCGCCAGCAUUCUGGCGGGCAUGCCUGUCCGAGCGUCAUUUCCUCCCUCACGCAGCGCGCCUGCGUGGUGUUGGGGCGUUCUGCGGCCAGGCCUGCGCCUAGCAGGCCGCCGCAGCCCCCGAAAGCCAGUGGCGGGCCGGCAGCGGGCUCCGAGCGCAGUAAGCAGCAGUGCCCUCGCUCUGGACGCCCCCGCCUGCGCCCUGCCCCAAAGACGGCAGACGCGAGUCUCCCUCCUUCUCAAGGUUGACCUCGGAUCAGGUAGGACUACCCGCUGAACUUAAGCAUAUCAAUAAGCGGAGGAAAAGAAACCAACAGGGAUUGCCCCAGUAACGGCGAGUGAAGCGGCAACAGCUCAGAUUUGGAAUCUGGCCCCCAGGGCCCGAGUUGUAAUCUGGAGAGGAUGCUUCUGGCGCGGCGCCUUCCGAGUUCCCUGGAACGGGACGCCGGAGAGGGUGAGAGCCCCGUACGGUCGGACGCCUAGCCUUUGUGAAGCUCCUUCGACGAGUCGAGUAGUUUGGGAAUGCUGCUCAAAAUGGGAGGUAAAUUUCUUCUAAAGCUAAAUAUUGGCCAGAGACCGAUAGCGCACAAGUAGAGUGAUCGAAAGAUGAAAAGCACUUUGAAAAGAGGGUUAAACAGUACGUGAAAUUGUUGAAAGGGAAGCGCCCGUGGCCAGACUUGUGCCCCGCGGACCACCCGGCGCCCUCAGCGCCGGUGCACUCCGCGGGGCGCAGGCCAGCAUCGGUUUUCCCAGGGGGACAAAGGCGGCGGGAACGUGGCUCCCUCGGGAGUGUUAUAGCCCGCCGCGCCAUGCCCCUGGGGGGACCGAGGACCGCGCUUCGGCAAGGAUGCUGGCGUAAUGGCCACCGGCGACCCGUCUUGAAACACGGACCAAGGAGUCAAGCAUUGGGGCGAGUGUCUGGGUGCCAAACCCGCACGCGAAAUGAAAGUGAACGCAGGUGAGAGCUUCGGCGCAUCAUCGACCGAUCCUGAUGUUCUCGGAUGGAUUUGAGUAAGAGCCUUACCGCUUGGACCCGAAAGAUGGUGAACUAUGCCUGUAUAGGGUGAAGCCAGAGGAAACUCUGGUGGAGGCUCGCAGCGGUUCUGACGUGCAAAUCGAUCGUCAAAUAUGGGCAU
rnacentral:rRNA from 1 species